GCUGGUUCUUCCAGGAGCGCGCAUGAGCGGACGCUGCCUACUGGUGGCCGGGCGGGAUGUAACCGGCUGCUGAGCUGGCAGUUCUGUGUCGCUAGGCUUCUGCCCGGCCGCCGCCGCACAUAAGCCACGAGGAGGAGCUUUACGACUUCCCGGUCUUCGGCGCCGGGCGCAGCAAGGGCCAGACUCUGCGCUAGCAGGCGCUGCGCGCCAACCGGCCGGCACCUGUCGCAGAAGGUGCAACCGAUCGCACUGUCGCGCAGAAGCUCCUCAAUGGCCAGCGCCAGCUGCAGCCCCGGCCGCCCACUCGCCUCAUCUGAGCCUGGGCAAAUCUGGAUUGGGAAAGUUGACAUUAAUCAACUCAUUAUUCCUCACAGAUUUGUAUUCUCCAGAGUAUCCAGGUCCUUCUCAGAGAAUUAAAAAGCCUGUACAGGUCUAGAUAUUGGUAUUUUUAAUUGAUGAUAAGCUGGAAUAAUAUUAAUACACACAAAGCACGUGUUGUAACUUUCAUUAUGCUUCCUUAGAGCUCUGUUCACGGAAAGGGCCUGGGAGCUGCAACACCUCAACAGCAACAAGCACACCUGCUACCUAGAACUUGGUUUCUAAAAACCAUCCUCCUCUAAAAGGAAACAGAGCUCUUUGAAGAAACGGUGAGACAGUCAACAAACCUCUAACCACCGACCUUUUCUCCUCUGCCCUCCACUCACACUCUGCUCCAUCACCCUCAGCCACACAGCUGACGCUGUAGAGAUUCACUGACAUCCAGUCUGAUGGACACUGUUUCUCCAGCCGAAACUGCUCAUGAGAACAUGUGCAGUGAAGUGCUCCAGAGGCCCCAGCAUGCUACAUUACAGAAGACUGAACUCAGGAGAGAUGAGGAAUAAUCCCCUCCAUCACACCAGACACCAGGAGGGUGUGCCAAGAGGUAACUUUGCUGAACUUGUGAAGAAUGGUGUGCAAGGUCCAGAGCGACUGCAGGAGAGGGAAGGUGGGAUUCCCACAGAGCAGGAGCACAGAUAAGCCAAGCAAGGCCCUGCUUGGAAGGCAGCAAUCAACAGAGAUGCACAGACCUGUGAGGGUGCCGGGACAGCCAUGCAACAAUGCAGCCCUUUUGCUUCCUGAGCUCACCAGUUCCCUCGCUCCACCUCUGAGAGGUGGUUUGGAGAAACACAGCCCUUCUCAAGAGGGCUGCAAGCUACUUAAGUCCUGAAAAUUUCCACAAGGCUGAGUCAAAUCUGCGUUUCAUCAUCUA
rnacentral:lncRNA from 1 species